AUACUACUCCCUCCGUCCCAAAUUUUUUGUCUUAGAUUUGUCUAAAUACGGAUGUAUCAAGUCACGUUUUAGUAUUAGAUACAUCCGUAUCUAGGCAAAUCUAAGACAAGAAUUUUGGGACGGAGGGAGUACAUA
rnacentral:pre_miRNA from 1 species